UGAGCUGUGGAUAGCGGAGAAAUUCCAAUCGAACUCGGAGAUAGCUGGUUCUCCUCGAAAUAGCUUUAGGGCUAGCGUCGGGUAAUUGAGUAGUGGAGGUAGAGCACUGAAUGGGCUAGGGGCUGACAACAGUUACUGAACCCUAUCAAACUCCGAAUGCCAUAUACUUGUACCCCGGCAGUCAGACUACGAAUGAUAAGAUCCGUGGUCAAAAGGGAAACAGCCCAGACCAUCAGCUAAGGUCCCAAAGUGUAAGUUAAGUGGGAAAGGAUGUGGGAUUUCUAAGACAACUAGGAUGUUGGCUUAGAAGCAGCCACUCAUUUAAAGAGUGCGUAAUAGCUCACUAGUCGAGAGAUCCUGCGCCGAAGAUGUAACGGGGCUCAAACUUACCACCGAAGCUAUGGAUGUGUACUUUGUACACGUGGUAGAGGAGCUUUCUGUACAGGUUGAAGUCAUACCGUAAGGAGUGGUGGACAGUACAGAAGUGAGAAUGCUGGCAUAAGUAGCGAAAAACAAGUGAGAAUCUUGUUGACCGAAUAUCUAAGGUUUCCUGGGGAAGGCUCGUCCUCCCAGGGUUAGUCGGGACCUAAGCCGAGGCCGCAAGGCGUAGGUGAUGGACAACUGGUUGAUAUUCCAGUACCACCAUAAUGCGUUUGACAAAUGGGAUGACGCAGGAGG
rnacentral:rRNA from 1 species